UAGGGAAUAUUGGUAAUGUGCGAAAGCGCGAACCAGCAACGCCGCGUGCACGAUGAAGGCCUUCGGGUCGUAAAGUGCUUUUAGAGAGGAUGAGGAAGGACAGUACUUUCUGAAUAAGCCUCGGCUAACUACGUGCCAGCAGCCGCGGUAAAACGUAGGAGGCUAGCGUUAUCCGGAUUUACUGGGCGUAAAGCGCACGCAGGUGGUUUUGUAAGUUGGAUGUGAAAGCUCCUGGCUUAACUGGGAGAGGUCGUUCAAAACUACAAGACUUGAGAUUGGUAGAGGAAAAUGGAAUUCCGGGUGUAGUGGUGAAAUGCGUAGAUAUCCGGAGGAACACCAGUGGCGAAAGCGGUUUUCUGGACCAAUUCUGACACUCAGAUGCGAAAGCUAAGGUAGCAAACG
rnacentral:rRNA from 1 species